rnacentral:misc_RNA from 1 species
ACACCCUCAAGCUUUGCUUGGUGUUGGGCGUCUGUCCCCCCAUUUUUCGGCGGGACUCGCCUCAAAGGCAUUGGCAGCGGUCCUGCCGGGCCUCCUAAUCGCGCAGCACUGUUCGCGCCCCUUGGAGCCCGUGCGGAUUCGGCGUCCAUCAAGCCCCAAUUUUCUAA